rnacentral:rRNA from 1 species
GAUGAACGCUGGCGGCGUGCCUAAUACAUGCAAGUCGAGCGAACGGACGAGAAGCUUGCUUCUCUGAUGUUAGCGGCGGACGGGUGAGUAACACGUGGAUAACCUACCUAUAAGACUGGGAUAACUUCGGGAAACCGGAGCUAAUACCGGAUGAUAUUUUGAACCGCAUGGUUCAAAAGUGAAAGACGGUCUUGCUGUCACUUAUAGAUGGAUCCGCGCUGCAUUAGCUAGUUGGUAAGGUAACGGCUUACCAAGGCAACGAUGCAUAGCCGACCUGAGAGGGUGAUAGGCCACACUGGAACUGGGACACGGUCCAGACUCCUAAGGGAGGCAGCAGUAGGGAAUCUUCCGCAAUGGGCGAAAGCCUGACGGAGCCACGCCGCGGGAGUGAUGAAGGUCUUCGGAUCGUAAAACUCUGUUAUUAGGGAAGAACAUAUGUGUAAGUAACUGUGCACAUCUUGACGGUACCUAAUCAGAAAGCCACGGAUAACUACGUG